AUUAAAAAAGAAAAUCAGUGGGAUAAGGGGAUCAACAUAACAUAAUGCAGUUUAAAUCAAACAAUAUAGAGAAAGAUCUUGUCUGCUAAAACUUCCACCCUGCACCCAGUAACCAAAAGAAAUUGCUCAUCUUUCUUACCAGAUUUUGAAUCAAAAAAAUUAUUGGGAAUAUGAUCUAGAUAAGAUAACUCAUCUUUCCAUUGGACUUUUUUAUCCUGUUCCUUUUGAACAUGAGUAACAUAUAUUUUUAAUUCUAGGGAUUCAAUAUAUCAUUCAAUAAUCAAUACAUUCACCAAAAACAAAAACCAUAUUUGAAAACAAUUCUGAAAAGUCAAAGCUUUUGAACACCUUGGAAUUA
rnacentral:misc_RNA from 1 species